rnacentral:rRNA from 1 species
GUGAGGAAUAUUGGUCAAUGGGCGCAAGCCUGAACCAGCAAUGCCGCGUGUGGGAUGACGGCGCUUUGCGUUGUAAACCACUGUCGGACGGGACGAAAGGGAGCCUUUGGCUCCUGGGACGGUACCGUCAAAGGAAGGGUCGGCUAACUACGUGCCAGCAGCCGCGGUAAUACGUAGGACCCAAGCGUUGUCCGGAUUCACUGGGUAUAAAGGGUGCGUAGGCGGUCUUGUGCGUCAGAGGUGAAAUCUCCGGGCUUAACCCGGAGGGUGCCUUUGAUACGGCAGGACUUGAGUGCAGGAGAGGAUGAUGGAAUUCCUGGUGUAGCGGUGAAAUGCGUAGAUAUCAGGAGGAACACCGGUGGCGAAGGCGGUCAUCUGGUCUGCAACUGACGCUGAGGCACGAAAGCGCGGGGAUCAAACAGGAUUAGAAACCCCAGUAGUCC